GUCCACGCCGUAAACGAUGAGCACUAGGUGUCGGGGUCGCAAGACUUCGGUGCCGCAGUUAACGCAUUAAGUGCUCCGCCUGGGGAGUACGUACGCAAGUAUGAAACUCAAAGGAAUUGACGGGGACCCGCACAAGCAGCGGAGCAUGUGGUUUAAUUCGAAGCAACGCGAAGAACCUUACCAGGACUUGACAUCCUCUUGACAGGACUUUAACAGGUCCCUUCUUCGGACAAGAGAGACAGGUGGUGCAUGGUUGUCGU
rnacentral:rRNA from 1 species